GGGUGGUGCCUGCCGUGCAGGCCAAGAGUGCCGCCCACACCCUCAGUGCCUUGCUGGGCCACCACUGCCCCCCUGCUGGACCCCCCUGCAGCCAUCACCAAGCCUUCAGGAGACACUGCUGAGCCUGGUGUAUGUCCAGCGGGCACACUGGCGCUGCUUCCAGUACCAGGGGUCCUUAUGCCAGCAGGAGGUGCGGGGCGAGGCUGACCCCAGCACCUUCACCCCGAGCCUCUCCUUCCAAGGCCUGGUGGGUGUCCGUCCCUUAUGCCUACAGACCAGACACCAUGCAGCUCCUGACACCAUAGACACAGCAGCUCAGGGAGAGGAUUGAUGAGAAACUGCUGCAGCUGAGGAGGGAAGAGGCCGUGGUGCUGAGUGAGUCUCCGAGGCUGUGUCUGGUGUGUGACGAGCAGGUGGAGCAACACGCAGCCUUACAGAAGGGUAA